GCUUUAGACCUGGAAGUGGACUCUUAAAGAGUCUUGUCAAAGUCCUCUAUUAAAACCUGACUCAAGCAGAAGCAGAACAACAACAAGAAGUAGCUCCAGAUACCUGUCCAAGAUCAGCUCUGGGAGCUCCUGGACACACAUGGAAGUAAUGCAUGACUGAACAUUUUAUGUGUAUUUUCACAGUGAUUGACUUGAACAUUGCUAGCUUUAAUUAUACUAUUACAAACACUUAUAUGGAGUACAGGAGCUACUACUCUAGCUUCUAAGGGCAUCAUAAGGCUGGUCCUGCAGUUCAUGUUGGUCUGUGACAGAAGUAGACUACAGCCUAAAAGGCUUAAUCGAGUUAUUUUCAGCACGGUCAGCGUGAUGACAGUCAGUCCAGCGGUUCUCUGGGCUGCCUUGUCUUGUGGAAAUGUGGGAGAGGAAACAUCCUGUGCAUGUGAGUGCCACUGAGCCCCAUCCCAGCUCCGACCACAGCCUGGCCGCUCUGCGCAAUGGGGGCCUAAAGGGAUAAAGCCCAAGUGCAUGCUGGGAAAACAGCUGGGACCACAUUUCCCAAAACACUGCAGCACAAAGAUUAGCAUGUGAUAGAAGAUAGCAAUUUUUAGGCUGAACACUUUAAAGACAUGAUGAAAUUGACAGAAUAGACCCACAGGCUAAGAAGGAAAAAAGCAAAAUCACAGUUUGGGUGCCUCAUCAAGUGACGUUUUCUUUAUUUUCAGAGUAAAAAGUUAAUAUAUCAUCUACAGAGCAACACUUCUCCACAUUUUGAUCCACAAUUACUGUUCCCAAUGUCAAACUCAGCAAAAAAUAGAAAUUGUAAGAUUUGCAAAAACUCCCCAUAUUUAAGUAUGUUCCCUGCACAGCAUUUGCUGCCUUGUUGUCACAUUUUCAAAUACAUAUACAUAAACAAAACAUGUUAAUUAAACAGGGGAAUCUAAACAUUUCCAUAUGACUGUAUAUGCACUACUUUUCUGAACUUUGGAAUUAUUUGUCAUGUUAAUAGCUACUGUGAUUUUAUUCAGUACUAUAAACUAGACACCAGAAGGUAUUUUAUCCAGUAUCUUAAGGUAUUAUCUGUCUGAGAUUUGAUCACUAUGUUUCAAAUAUUGUGUAAAUUUUAUUAUAACUUGAUGGACAAUGUUUUACAGCCUACACAUUCUUUGUAGAAUUAUCAGCAGCUCUGCUCAUCAUUCUGGAUCCACCUGACAUUUCUUCAUUUUUUACAGCUUCAUAUGAAAUAUAUGAUCCUUGUGAAACUGUAAAGUAGUAACACAGUAGCAGAAAUAGCUUCAUUAUAUGCAUGUAUCUGCAACAAAGUGGUUUUAUGUUUUUUGGAACAGUCUAAAUGGUUUUGACCUUUUUAGGGAAAACAUUUUGAUAAUAAGGAAUACAGGAUCUUUGUGAAGCAUCUGUUUAUUUU
ensembl:lncRNA